UACAGAGGGUGCGAGCGUUGUCCGGAAUCACUGGGCGUAAAGGGCGCGUAGGUGGCGACCCAAGUCGAUGGUGAAAGCUCGCCGCUCAACGGCGAGUCGGCCACUGAUACUGGGUUGCUGGAGCACUGUAGAGGCAGAUGGAAUUCCGGGUGUAGCGGUGGAAUGCGUAGAGAUCCGGAAGAACACCGGUGGCGAAGGCGGGUCUCUGGGCCGAUACUGACACUGAGGAGCGAAAGCGUGGGGAGCGAACAGG
rnacentral:rRNA from 1 species